rnacentral:tRNA from 1 species
GGGGUUGUAGCUCAGUGGCAGAGCACUUGCCUAGCAUGCAUGAGGCACUGGGUUCAAUCCCCAGCGCCACA